CCUACGGGAGGCAGCAGUGAGGAAUAUUGGUCAAUGGGCGGGAGCCUGAACCAGCCAAGUCGCGUGAGGGAAGACGGUCCUAUGGAUUGUAAACCUCUUUAGGCGGGGAGCAAGGCCGGGCACGCGUGCCCGGAGGGAGAGUACCCGCAGAAGAAGCAUCGGCUAACUCCGUGCCAGCAGCCGCGGUAAUACGGAGGAUGCGAGCGUUAUCCGGAUUUAUUGGGUUGAAAGGGUGCGUAGGCGGAUUUUGAAGUCAGCGGUAAAAUGUCCGGGCUCCACCCGGGCCGGCCGUUGAAACUGGGGUUCUUGCGUGGGCGAGAAUUCUGCGGAAUGCGUGUUGUAGCGG
rnacentral:rRNA from 1 species